ensembl:lncRNA
ACGGCCAGUAUUGAUUACAACAGUAAAAUACUAAUAUUUAUGUGUUAGAACUACAUAACCAUAAUAUAUCUCAGGGUGUUCUGUGCCUGCAUCUGCAUCUACCAGUGUUAGUUGAGAAAAUAAUAUUCUUUUAUAAUUUUUCAUUUUAGAUUUGGAGUUUUGGAAAUCAUCCAGUCGCAAGAUCUUCGCAAUUAAAAGCAUUGAGUUGGUGAAACUUAAAAGACAAGAGAAUGUGUCUAAAAAGAAAAGGGGCAUAAUGAAGGACAUCUUCUGGAUGAAAGUCGAUCAGUGUGUCAUGACCCUGCAGGAGCACCAGAGGGGGUUACCUGAUUGAAUCUUUUGGCGCUGAUUAAACACUAAAAUGCAAAAGUUUGCACUUUUACAAGAAGUUUAGUUUAGCUGUUUCCAAGUUUCCAAGAAGUGUUUCUUGAGCAGGCCAAUAUAUUCAUGUUAUUCAUUUAAAUAUUUUUUGUUAUUAAAGAAUGCACUAAAAUUCUACUCUUG